rnacentral:rRNA from 1 species
UACGUAGGGUGCGAGCGUUGUCCGGAAUUAUUGGGCGUAAAGAGCUCGUAGGCGGUUUGUCGCGUCUGCUGUGAAAUCUAGAGGCUCAACCUCUAGCCUGCAGUGGGUACGGGCAGACUUGAGUGGUGUAGGGGAGACUGGAAUUCCUGGUGUAGCGGUGGAAUGCGCAGAUAUCAGGAGGAACACCGAUGGCGAAGGCAGGUCUCUGGGCACUUACUGACGCUGAGGAGCGAAAGCGUGGGGAGCGAACAGG